rnacentral:tRNA from 1 species
GAAUUAUUUUAUUUUGGGCUUCUAACUCAAACCAAAGAAUUAAAUCUUCUUAUAAUUCU